ensembl:lncRNA
ACAUUAUAUAACAACGUGAAAUGACUUUUUUAAUUAAAAAUUUUCUGUCUCUUAAGGUAGUAAUAAUUACAUGUAUGUUGUAUACCCAAGGACUGAGUAGUUUGCUCUUUGAAACAUUGGAAUGUCCUUGGUCACAGGUCACUUUCCCAGUAUCUACUGUCAUAUGAGUGUUCUCUCCAUGGUGUUUGUUCCCUUAUGUGUGGUGGUUAUUAGUGCAGGUGAGCAGUGUUCUUGAACAUGUGGUGUGGCCUUGCUGGUGCUGGGGCUGCAGCUGGGAUCCACAUCACUGGGGGUGGUGGGAGGGGGCGGGUUGUCCACUUAGCCAGGACAGCCCCGGAGGUUUUCCUGAGGAGAGGUGGCAGCUCUUGAGCUGAUAUGAAUGACAGGAGGAGGGGGCUUGGGAGGUUAGAGGUUGAAGGUGAGCCCUGUUCAAGCUGAGGGGUACCAUUUAUAGCAAGGAAGGGACUGUGGCUGGAAUUGAGUGAACCGAGGGUUCUUACCCCUCUUUCCUCCCAUUUUUGUCUGACUGAAGCCCUCAACCAUCCCAUUCAGUGAAAUUUUAGCACCACAGAUAGCUGUUUGUGUAUUGUAUUUGUGCUUUAUACAUAAAAUUUAAAAUUUUUGCUGACCAACUAAUUUUCUCCCUCUUGGGAGCAGUUCUGGCCUAUUGAGAACACAAGUCUAGAGCCACGUAUGUGGAGGCCACGAGACUCUUACUUGAAAUGAGAAGCCAGAGAAAAGGCUUGGGCCGGGCCGGGCAGUGAUGGGACCUGGUUUGUGCUAACAAAGGUCCAAAGCUAUGGUUUUUCCAGUACUGAUGUAUGGAUGUGAGAGUCGAACUAUAAAGAAAGCUGAGUGCUGAAGAAUUGAUGCUUUUGAACUGUGGUAUUGAAUGAAGAAUACUCUUGAGAGUUCCCAAGCAAGGGGAUCCAACCAGUCCAUCCUAAAGGAGAUCAGUCCUGAAUAUUCAUUGGAAGGACUGAUGCUGAAACUGAAACUCCAAUACUUUGGCCACCUGAUGUGAAGAACUGACUCACUGGAAAAGACCUUGAUGCUGGGAAAGAUUAAAGGCCGAGGAUCAUGUUUGGUUCUGCAUAAGAUCACAGAGGGUGACAAUCAUGAGGAUGUCCCGUUCUCCAUAACUACGAACUUCAGAAUUUCUCAGAAGGCGUUUGCGAGCUUGCUAAUAAAGAAUGUGAUUCCUUUAUGGUUCAAUACCACAGGAGUCUGCUCCAGAGGAGAACAUUACCUUUGGGGGUGAUUUCUGGCAAGGUAUUAUUUUUCACCAUGAGCCAUUAUUAAAAUCCUGUUUAUUCAGUUUUUACAAUUCAUGUGUUGUAAUUGGAAGACCUUUGUAGAGUAUUCCUCAACCUCCAUACUUGUUGAAUUAUGUAGUAUUUAUCUUCCAUAGUAAUUUCUUGCAAUGUACUAUUAUUUAUAUGUAAUUUAUAUAAUAGACUAUGUAAUAAUGAUUGACUUGUAUUAACUCAGCGGAAAAUGAGAAUGUGAGUACUCAAUCUCAUUGGUACAUAGUUGACUGUUAAGAAUAUGCCUUCU